rnacentral:lncRNA from 1 species
CUCUGUCGCUCAUCUUCCUACAGUCCAACCGUCUCUGCUCGGGCCCGCCGCCCCCUUCCUCCUUCGCUCACCUUUCCGCUGCUCACUUGCUCACCGCUACACGCUGCCCUCUUUCUUCUCCUCUUCCUCCGUCUUCGGCAAAAACCCAAGCUCCCCUUCUUCCGCCCUUGGUGACAACCCCAUCGGCCCGCUCCUCCUCCUCCACCCUC